ensembl:lncRNA
GGAGUCCAUGCCUCGACGGGUCAGGGCUGUUUUGGCAGAAAAGGGGGGACCAACACAAUAUUAGAACUUCCAGUAGGACCUUCAGGAGAACAUAACAGUGUACUAAAGUCACAAAGAAGAAGAAGAAAUAAAGGAAAAAUGAAAAAGCAAGAGCGAGAGAGAGAUGAACUCUGCACCCCAAAAGGCUUAAACUGAGAAAAUAGCCAAGCACAGCAGGUGACGUAAAUGGCAAAUACCGGGAUAGGUACACUCAGCAAGUAGGUGAGAUUACGCAAUAUAUGCCAAACUAAAUUUCAAAAGCUGAGGGGAAACACCAAGAAAACAUUACUGAAGUACUAGAUCAAGUCACUACUAAAACAAGGCCUUUUGCAUAAUCAUUAGAAGUGACACUUGGAAAAACCUGGAGUAGAUGCAUGACAUCAAAGAACUUCUACAGGUUAAAUACAAGUGAAACUGCCGCAUCUGGGAUGUACUCUGGAGUACGCCAGCAGUGAAA